GCUCACGGCCUUACCAGCUGAAGAAUGCCAAAUCUCAACUGAUCUUGGAAGCUAAGAAGGCUUGGGCCUGGUUAGUACUUGGAUGGGAGACUGCCUGGGAAUAAUAGGUGCCUUAAGCU
rnacentral:rRNA from 1 species